rnacentral:rRNA from 1 species
AGUGAACGCUGGCGGUAGGCCUAACACAUGCAAGUCGAACGGCAGCACAGUAAGAGCUUGCUCUUACGGGUGGCGAGUGGCGGACGGGUGAGGAAUACAUCGGAAUCUACUUUUUCGUGGGGGAUAACGUAGGGAAACUUACGCUAAUACCGCAUACGACCUACGGGUGAAAGCAGGGGAUCUUCGGACCUUGCGCGAUUGAAUGAGCCGAUGUCGGAUUAGCUAGUUGGCGGGGUAAAGGCCCACCAAGGCGACGAUCCGUAGCUGGUCUGAGAGGAUGAUCCGCCACACUGGAACUGAGACACGGUCCAGACUCCUGCGGGGGGCAGCAGUGGGGAAUAUUGGGCGAUGGGCGCAAGCCUGAUCCAGCCAUACCGCGUGAGUGAAGAAGGCCUUCGGGUUGUAAAGCCCUUUUGUUGGGAAAGAAAAGCAGCAGGUUAAUACCCCGCUGUUCUGACGGUACCCAAAGAAUAAGCACCGGCUAACUUCGUG